rnacentral:misc_RNA from 1 species
GAUGAAGAACGUAGCGAAAUGCGAUAAGUAAUGUGAAUUGCAGAAUUCAGUGAAUCAUCGAAUCUUUGAACGCACAUUGCGCCCGCUAGUAUUCUGGCGGGCAUGCCUGUCCGAGCGUCAUUUCAACCCCCAAGCCCCCGGGCUUGGUGUUGGGGAUCGGCGAGCCUCCGCGCCCGCCGUCCCCUAAAUCUAGUGGCGGUCUCGCUGUAGCUUCCUCUGCGUAGUAGCACACCUCGCACUGGGAAACAGCGAGGCCACGCCGUUAAACCCCCAACUUCUGAACGUUUGACCUCGGAUCAGGUAGGAAUACCCGCUGAACUUAAGCAUAUCAAUAAGCGGAGGA